rnacentral:rRNA from 1 species
AGAGUUAAACAGUACGUGAAAUUGUUGAAAGGGAAACGAUUAAAGUCAGUCGUACCAACGGGAAAUCAACCUUUCGAUCGUGAUUUUGGGGCUUUAAAAGAGUGUCAAAACCUUUUGAGGUUUCAUAAAUCGGGUUCUUUUGGUGUACUUUCUCGUAGGUAGGUCAACAUCGAUUUUGAACAUUAUAAAAAGAUUGGAGGAAUGUAGCUUCGAUCUCGUAUUGAAGUGUUAUAGCCUUUGGUAAAUGUAAUGAUCAAGAUCGAGGAUUGCAACGAAUACCUUUACGGGCUAUUCGUCUGAUCUCUGACACGUUGCCUUGGUAUUGAAAGCGUGCUUAUGAUAUCGAGGUAUUACGGUCAAAAGGUUAGAACGGAUUACAUUCGUUAAGGAUGUUGACGUAAUGGCUUUAAACGACC